GAUGAACGCUGGCGGCGUGCCUAAUACAUGCAAGUCGAGCGAACAGACGAGGAGCUUGCUCCUCUGACGUUAGCGGCUGACGGGUGAGUAACACGUGGAUAACCUACCUAUAAUACUGGGAUAACUUCGGGAAACCGGAGCUAAUACCGGAUCAUAUAUUGUACCGCAUGGUUCAAUAGUGAAUGACGGUUUUCGUGUCUCUUAUAGAUGGAUCCGCGCCGCAUUAGCUAGUUGGUAAGGUAACGGCGCACCAAGGCAACGAUGCGUAGCCGACCUGAGAGGGUGAUCGGCCACACUGGAACUGAGACACGGUCCAGACUCCUACGGGAGGCAGCAGUAGGGAAUAUUCCGCAAUGGGCGAAAGCCUGACGGAGCAACGCCGCGUGAGUGAUGAAGGUCUUCGGAUCGUAAAACUCUGUUAUUAGGGAAGAACAGAUGUGUAAGUAACUAUGCACGUCUUGACGGUACCCAAACAGAAAGCCACGGCUAACUACGUG
rnacentral:rRNA from 1 species